rnacentral:rRNA from 1 species
AGUGAACGCUGGCGGUAGGCCUAACACAUGCAAGUCGAACGGCAGCACAGUAAGAGCUUGCUCUUACGGGUGGCGAGUGGCGGACGGGUGAGGAAUACAUCGGAAUCUACUUUUUCGUGGGGGAUAACGUAGGGAAACUUACGCUAAUACCGCAUACGACCUACGGGUGGAAGCAGGGGAUCUUCGGACCUUGCGCGAUUGGAUGAGCCGAUGUCGGAUUAGCUAGUUGGCGGGGUAAAGGCCCACCAAGGCGACGAUCCGUAGCUGGUCUGAGAGGAUGAUCAGCCACACUGGAACUGAGACACGGUCCAGACUCCUACGGGAGGCAGCAGUGGGGAAUAUUGGACAAAGGGCGCAAGCCUGAUCCAGCCAUACCGCGUGGGUGAAGAAGGCCUUCGGGUUGUAAAGCCCUUUUGUUGGGAAAGAAAAGCAGCAGGUUAAUACCCCGCUGUUCUGACGGUACCCAAAGAAUAAGCACCGGCUAACUUCGUG